UUAUCGGAGAGUUUGAUCCUGGCUCAGGACGAACGCUGGCGGCAUGCCUAAUACAUGCAAGUCG
rnacentral:rRNA from 1 species